rnacentral:rRNA from 1 species
AUGACCCGGGCAACACUCCUGCCUCUCCGUGAGCACGAACCUUGCAUGAGGAUUCGGGGGGGACUUUCGCAGGCAACUGCUGCCCGCGGCAUAAAAGUUCUCAUCUCCCCAGCCGCCGCCGCCGCCACAAUUACUGCCGGCGCCUCGGUCCCCCUCCUCUUUCCCGUCCGGCGGCCUCGUCGGCGGCAAGAGGAGUGGGGACCCGUCCGUCUUGUUUUAUUUUUCUUAGGUUUUUGUUUCUCCGGUGGCAUCGACGAGGUGGUGGCGACGAUGGCGUGUUGGAAUAAAGUCUCUCCGGUCUCUCCCUACCUCGACGACUUCCGAUUCGGCGCCGGCGAAGGGCCUGUGAGAGUUUGUGUCCCCAGAUCGGUUGGUUCCCUUCAGAUCUUGGCAGUUGGUGUGUCUUUCAAGGAGUACUUUUGGCUGGCGUUUGGUGUGGCGACCUCGACAUCUUCUUCUGUGUUGUUCUGUGGCUUAACCCGGUUUCUCCAACCCUCUGAUCUGGUGGUGGUGGAUUGCAAGCUUGUUCUGCUUGGGGUGAUGCUCCAGCCGAUGCUGCUUCAACGACUUUUAGAUCUCGUCUCAAGGGGCGAGUGGCUAUUGCGGUCUUCAAAGCCUUGUGUGGCGAGGGCAUUUGCAGGUUUUGCUUUUCUUUGCUGUUGGUUCAGUGCAAUUUUCAAUCACCGGCGGGCAGCGUACAAUCAGAGGAAGAAGAAGACUAGUAUGCUUUUUAUUGUAAUUUUAUUUUUUACUGAUCGUUCUACGUCUAAUUGUCUAUCUUUUGUACUGGCCUUUGUUUUCCUCGAUGAUAAUCAGAUUUAA